GUGCCCAUCGAUUAGUGGUUAAAUCAGUUCGUUGUGGUCUUAGCACCGAACAGCCCCGUGUUCGACUCACGGUGGGCACA